CUGGUCUUCAGUGUAUCUGCUGAAAAGUCAGCUGAUGGCCUAAUGGGAAUUUCUUUUUAGGUGUAUCCUCUUUGGGAAUCUGUGCUUCCUGGCCUGGAUGUCUGUUCCUGUUCCAGGUCAUUGUUUCCCAAACUACACGUUGAACUCCUAGUGGGACUGAGAAGAUAUUAUGAGUGUUCUUGGUGAUCAGAGCAGAAGAGAUCCAACAGUGCCUGACUCACUGCUUCUGCAGUAAGGAAUGAGGACGUGAGAACUGGUCUGCUUCACAGCUGCUGUGAGGAUGAAGUCAGUGCAUUCUUCCUGGAAGAGCUUUGAGCUGGAGAAUGGUUGAAGGUCACCAUGCUGGAGCCCCAGGAAAUUGAGACCUAGAAGAUUAAAUUACUCAAGUCAUGUAACACUUAAGUGGCAAAUCCAAAAUCCAAACAAAUUUGCAAUUCUCAACAAGGACCUUGGCUGUUUUAUGAAACCUUAAAGAUUUUAUUUGUUCAUUUGUUUGUAUUCUGUGUGUUCCUAUAUUGAGCUAGCUGAUUCUGAGUAAGUUAACCCAUAGAUUAGGAAUUCUGGAUUUGUCUCACCAGUUCUUAGAGAUCUUGGUCAUGUUUUGUUCCUAUGU